rnacentral:misc_RNA from 1 species
AAGUCGUAACAAGGUUUCCGUAGGUGAACCUGCGGAAGGAUCAUUACAGUGUCUUGGAGGCCGAUGUUCCGGCGCUUCCCCACGGGGGCGUCAGGGCUCGUGCCCCCUCCACACGUGUUUACUACACUCCGUUGCCUUGGUGGGUCUGCCCUUGUGGCUGCCGGGGAUCACCGCGUGUGUCCCAGGCCCGUACCCACCGAUGGACACCCUGAACUCUUUGUGAAUAUAGUGUUGUCUGAGCGUUUAGCAAAUUAAACAAAACUUUCAACAAUGGAUCUCUUGGUUCUG